rnacentral:misc_RNA from 1 species
ACAAACUUGGUCAUUUAGAGGAAGUAAAAGUCGUAACAAGGUCUCCGUAGGUGAACCUGCGGAGGGAUCAUUGAAAAAAACAUCGGUUGAUGUGCUGGCGACAACACGCAAGUGCACUCAAUCGAAAUCCACACCACACUUGUGCACCUCAGAGACCUUUGCCCCCUUGAGGGAGGGUCCCAUUUUACACGCUUGUCAAAGGAUGUCUUUUUGCUUUAGCAAUCUUAUACAACUUUCAACGACGGAUCUCUUGGCUCUCGCAUCGAUGAAGAACGCAGC